rnacentral:rRNA from 1 species
AGACGAGGAGCUUGCUCCUCUGACGUUAGCGGCGGACGGGUGAGUAACACGUGGAUAACCUACCUAUAAGACUGGGAUAACUUCGGGAAACCGGAGCUAAUACCGGAUAAUAUAUUGAACCGCAUGGUUCAAUAGUGAAAGACGGUUUUGCUGUCACUUAUAGAUGGAUCCGCGCCGCAUUAGCUAGUUGGUAAGGUAACGGCUUACCAAGGCAACGAUGCGUAGCCGACCUGAGAGGGUGAUCGGCCACACUGGAACUGAGACACGGUCCAGACUCCUACGGGAGGCAGCAGUAGGGAAUCUUCCGCAAUGGGCGAAAGCCUGACGGAGCAACGCCGCGUGAGUGAUGAAGGUCUUCGGAUCGUAAAACUCUGUUAUUAGGGAAGAACAAAUGUGUAAGUAACUAUGCACGUCUUGACGGUACCUAAUCAGAAAGCCACGGCUAACUACGUGCCAGCAGCCGCGGUAAUACGUAGGUGGCAAGCGUUAUCCGGAAUUAUUGGGCGUAAAGCGCGCGUAGGCGGUUUUUUAAGUCUGAUGUGAAAGCCCACGGCUCAACCGUGGAGGGUCAUUGGAAACUGGAAAACUUGAGUGCAGAAGAGGAAAGUGGAAUUCCAUGUGUAGCGGUGAAAUGCGCAGAGAUAUGGAGGAACACCAGUGGCGAAGGCGACUUUCUGGUCUGUAACUGACGCUGAUGUGCGA